rnacentral:rRNA from 1 species
UACGUAGGGUGCAAGCGUUGUCCGGAAUUAUUGGGCGUAAAGAGCUCGUAGGCGGUUUGUCGCGUCUGCUGUGAAAACGCGAGGCUCAACCUCGCGCCUGCAGUGGGUACGGGCAGACUGGAGUGCGGUAGGGGAGAUUGGAAUUCCUGGUGUAGCGGUGGAAUGCGCAGAUAUCAGGAGGAACACCGGUGGCGGAGGCGGGUCUCUGGGCAACAACUGACGCUGAGGAGCGAAAGCGUGGGGAGCGAACAGG